rnacentral:rRNA from 1 species
UACGGAGGGUGCGAGCGUUGUCCGGAAUCACUGGGCGUAAAGGGCGCGUAGGCGGCCUGAUAAGUAGGGGGUGAAAUCCUGCGGCUUAACCGCAGGGCUGCCUUCUAAACUGUCAGGCUCGAGCACAGUAGAGGCAGGUGGAAUUCCCGGUGUAGCGGUGGAAUGCGUAGAGAUCGGGAAGAACAUCAGUGGCGAAGGCGGUUCUCUGGGACGGUACUGACGCUGAGACGCGAAAGCGUGGGGAGCGAACAGG